rnacentral:rRNA from 1 species
AGUGAACGCUGGCGGUAGGCCUAACACAUGCAAGUCGAACGGCAGCACAGUAAGAUCUUGCUCUUACGGGUGGCGAGUGGCGGACGGGUGAGGAAUACAUCGGAAUCUACUUUUUCGGGGGGGAUAACGUAGGGAAACUUACGCUAAUACCGCAUACGACCUACGGGUGAAAGCAGUGGAGCUUCGGACCUUUCGCGAUUGAAUGAGCCGAUGUCGGAUUAGCUAGUUGGGAGGGUAAAGGCCCACCAAGGCGACGAUCCGUAGCUGGCCUGAGAGGAUGAUCAGCCACACUGGAACUGAGACACGGUCCAGACUCCUACGGGAGGCAGCAGUGGGGAAUAUUGGACAAUGGGCGCAAGCCUGAUCCAGCCAUACCGCGUGGGUGAAGAAGGCCUUCGGGUUGUAAAGCCCUUUUGUUGGGAAAGAAAAGCAGCAGGUUAAUACCCCGCUGUUCUGACGGUACCCAAAGAAUAAGCAACGGCUAACUUCGUG